rnacentral:rRNA from 1 species
AUACGGAGGGUGCGAGCGUUAAUCGGAAUUACUGGGCGUAAAGCGCGCGUAGGCGGAUAAUUAAGUCAGAUGGGAAAUCCCCGGGCUCAACCUGGGAACUGCAUUUGAUACUGAUUAACUAGAGUAUGGUAGAGGUGAGUGGAAUUUCCGGUGUAGCGGUGAAAUGCGUAGAGAUCGGAAGGAACACCAGUGGCGAAGGCGACUCACUGGGCCAUUACUGACGCUGAGGUGCGAAAGCGUGGGUAGCAAACAGGAUUAGAUACCCUAGUAGUCC